UGUGUCGAUCAAACUGUCGACAGCAGCGUCCGAAUCCAUUGGUUCUUCCGGUGGCAAAACAACUACGGGAGUUACAUACGUUCGAAGUUCCGAUUGAAUGAGGAAAUUUGGUGGAUUCUAAGAGGAAAAAAAAUCAAUUUUAAUCGUACAAUCUCGAGGCAUCUUGAACACAAGGUAUUAGUGGUGCCAAACGACAUUGACCUGGUGGAGUCAUGGAAUUUGAACGCGCUAGAUCCAGGGACGCAAAAACUGCGCGCUGCAGAUUCAAUAUGUCGUCCAUAUAAUCGAACAUUUCGACAGACAUUUGAAAACUGUCGAGAAGAAAAAAAUUCGUCCAAACAUUUAUUUAGUCCUUGGAAAAAUAGUUUCGGGAUUUUAUGACCGUGUGAACAAACACGUAACGAUUUAUUCAUAAAUUAAUUUAACAGCGGCACAAUCAAAACUCGAAGAAAUUUCCAUUUUUGAGGUUACUUAUAUUGUUUCUAGAAUACAUUUCGAAAAAGUCUAAUGUCAAAUUUCGCGAUAAUUUGUAUGCAUAAACUUAUAGCUCUCCUUAGAUAUGAAAGUUCAAAUGAUAAA